rnacentral:rRNA from 1 species
GAUGAACGCUGGCGGCGUGCUUAAUACAUGCAAGUCGAACGGUAACAUAAAAGAAGCUUGCUUCUUUGAUGACGAGUGGCGGACGGGUGAGUAAUAUUUGGGAAACUACCUGAUAGAGGGGGACAACAGUUGGAAACGACUGCUAAUACCGCAUAAAGCCUGAGGGUGAAAGCAGCAAUGCGCUAUCAGAUGUGCCCAAACGGGAUUAGCUAGUAGGUGAGGUAAAGGCUCACCUAGGCGACGAUCUCUAGCUGGUCUGAGAGGAUGAUCAGCCACAUUGGGACUGAGACACGGCCCAGACUCCUACGGGAGGCAGCAGUAGGGAAUAUUGCACAAUGGAGGAAACUCUGAUGCAGCCAUGCCGCGUGUGUGAAGAAGGCCUUCGGGUUGUAAAGCACUUUCGGAGGGGAGGAAAAGAUGACGUUACCCUCAGAAGAAGCACCGGCUAACUCCGUG